rnacentral:rRNA from 1 species
CCUACGGGUGGCAGCAGUGAGGAAUAUUGGUCAAUGGGCGCGAGCCUGAACCAGCCAAGUAGCGUGAAGGAUGACUGCCCUACGGGUUGUAAACUUCUUUUAUAAAGGAAUAAAGUGAGGCUCGUGUGCCUUUUUGUAUGGACUUUAUGAAUACGGAUCGGCUAACUCCGUUCCAGCAGCGCCGGUAAUACGGUGGAUCCGAGCGUUAUCCGGAUUUAUUGGGUUUAAAGGGAGCGUAGAUGGGUUGUUAAGUCAGUUGUGAAAGUUUGCGGCUCAACCGUAAAAUUGCAAUUGAUACUGGCAGCCUUGAGUACAGAUGAGGUAGGUGGAAUUCGUGGUGUAGCGGUGAAAUGCUUAGAUAUAACGAAGAACUCCGAUUGCGAAGGCAGCCUACUAAACUGCCACUGACAUUGAUGCUCGAAAGUGUGGGUAUCAAACAGGAUUAGAUACCCUGGUAGUC